UACGGGGGGGGCAAGCGUUGUUCGGAAUUACUGGGCGUAAAGGGCGCGUAGGCGGCUCGCUAAGUCGGGUGUGAAACCCUCAGGCUCAACCUGGGGACGCCACUCGAUACUGCUGUGGCUAGAGUCCAGUAGAGGAGUGUGGAAUUCCCGGUGUAGUGGUGAAAUGCGUAGAUAUCGGGAGGAAUACCAGUGGCGAAGGCGGCUUCCUGGCCUGUUCUUGACGCUGAGGCGCGAAAGCUGGGGGAGCAAAGCGGG
rnacentral:rRNA from 1 species